rnacentral:rRNA from 1 species
CACGGGUGGUAAUGCCGGAUGCUCCGACUCCUCGCAUGGGGUGUCGGGAAAGAUUUCAUCGGUAUGGGAUGGGGUCGCGUCCUAUCAGGUAGUCGGCGGGGUAACGGCCCACCGAGCCUACGACGGGUAGCCGGCCUGAGAGGGCGACCGGCCACAUUGGGACUGAGAUACGGCCCAGACUCCUACGGGAGGCAGCAGUGGGGAAUAUUGCACAAUGGGCGCAAGCCUGAUGCAGCGACGCCGCGUGCGGGAUGACGGCCUUCGGGUUGUAAACCGCUUUUGAUCGGGAGCAAGCCUUCGGGUGAGUGUACCUUUCGAAUAAGCACCGGCUAACUACGUGCCAGCAGCCGCGGUAAUACGUAGGGUGCAAGCGUUAUCCGGAAUUAUUGGGCGUAAAGGGCUCGUAGGCGGUUCGUCGCGUCCGGUGUGAAAGUCCAUCGCUUAACGGUGGAUCUGCGCCGGGUACGGGCGGGCUGGAGUGCGGUAGGGGAGACUGGAAUUCCCGGUGUAACGGUGGAAUGUGUAGAUAUCGGAAA